AAGGAUAUUAGGGCUUUGAAGAAAUUGUUGUGCAAGGAGGAGAAGAGUUUUGGGCUAAAGGAACAGCAAGGGAUUCGAGUUCUGCGGUUUGGGGACACAGAGAGUGCAUAUUUCAGGGAGGUUGUAGCUCGUCGGAUUGUGCACGAGUGACUUCAGGAUUUGCUAGCUUUCAGCAUUUACGAGGUACUAGCGAGGACCGUGGGAAGGCGCCGGCAUGAUCGAUACACACUGAAGAAUGCUUUUAUGAUCUUGGGAUUUUGACUAUUUGUA